rnacentral:rRNA from 1 species
UACAGAGGUCCCAAGCGUUGUUCGGAUUCACUGGGCGUAAAGGGUGCGUAGGCGGUCGGGUAAGUCUGAUGUGAAAUCUCACAGCUUAACUGUGAAACUGCAUUGGAUACUAUUCGGCUUGAGAGUUGGAGGGGGGACUGGAAUUCUUGGUGUAGCAGUGAAAUGCGUAGAUAUCAAGAGGAACACCAGUGGCGAUGGCGAGUCCCUGGACAACUUCUGACGCUGAGGCACGAAAGCUAGGGGAGCAAACAGG